UGGGGGAUAUUGCACAAUGGGGGGGAACCCUGAUGCAGCGACGCCGCGUGGGCGAUGGAGCGCCUCGGCGCGUAAAGCCCUAUCAGCAGGGAAGAAGAUGACGGUACCUGACUAAGAAGCCCCGGCUAAAUACGUGCC
rnacentral:rRNA from 1 species